GAUUAAGAUGGCCAAUACCUAUUUGAUCAAUUAAUGUGUUUUUUUUAUGCAUAGUGCUUUAGCAGUUGGCAUAUAGUGUUCAGCGGAAGCAUAUAAAUUAUAGCAUCUAACCAAUGAGAAUUUCGCGUCCCGAUUCGAGACGCAGAUAUUCAAAAUUGUAUGCCCCCAGUACAGGCUCUCAUUUCACCUUGAGAGCUUGCUCGUAGGCUAGAAUUUCAUGAACAAGAUACACUCAAGCGACGUUUUUGUCAACACGGACGUCGGACUGCCGAUAGGGACUGGAUUGAAAACUGUGUUUGUAUCAGUUUGUGUUAAUCUUCAACACAUAGGACAAAACAUAACAUUUUUAAAGUUUUUCGCUUCCUUACACUUGCGCUAUAAUGUAAAAUGCGGCCAAAAUUAGAUACACCAAUUUUCGGUGACGUCCAUGUUGAUAAAAACGUUGCUUGCUUAAGCCCACUAUUGACUGUAGAGAGAGAGCACGAGUAAUUUACGAGUGUAAAGAAAAGUUGGGAACGGUGUAGGCUACAUGUGUUCAAACUUUGUAAACGAAUUAAAAAUUUGUGAUAACCAUACAUGUUUCAAAAUGCGUGUGAAUUUUAUGUUACUGACGUUAGAUAUUAUUUUUUUUAUUUUUUUCCGGUCCGGAAUCCCAGGUCCAUAACGUAAACGGAGCCUUCUGAUUGGUUGAGGUCAUUUCGCACACGUCACCUGACGUACUUGGCUGAUGCUUUCCGGAGGUGGGGGAUGGGUGUGGGCAGUUGAAUGUUUGCCCAAAUAUUUAUGGAGGGUAGUAAGGAAAUAACCUUAAUUUAACAUAUUUUCUGAUCAUCAGCCGGAAUUUUUUCCCUUGCAUUUGCCCGAAUUUCCACCAGCAACCCCCCCCCCCCUUUCUGCCUCUUGCCUCGUACUCCUAUGCACGUUGCGGAC